rnacentral:rRNA from 1 species
UACGGAGGGUGCGAGCGUUGUCCGGAAUCACUGGGCGUAAAGGGCGCGUAGGCGGCUCUGCACGUUCGUUGUGAAAUCGCCCGGCUCAACUGGGCGGGGUCAGCGGAUACGGCAGAGCUUGAGCAAGCUAGGGGGCAAUGGAAUUCCCGGUGUAGUGGUGGAAUGCGUAGAUAUCGGGAGGAACACCAGUGGCGAAGGCGGUUGCCUGGGGCUUUGCUGACGCUGAUGCGCGAAAGCGUGGGGAGCGAUCCGG